GGGGAUCCUGGGGUUGGGGGUCCUGGGGCCGUCACUCCUGGGCCGGUGUCGCAGAGGUGCGUGGGGAGCUGGCAGCGAGGGACACGUGUGUGGUGGAGGAUGGCAGCGACCGUGGAGUCUGGCACCAGGAGCGGGACUUCCUCACCCGGGAGGCUGCCGGCCGCUCCAGGAUGCUGUCCAGGUGCAUCAGCCUCUCCAGGUGCAGAGCCCGUG
rnacentral:lncRNA from 1 species